GUCUGGACGAUGGGGGCGGGGCGACACUUUCGAGGCGGAGCGAGACACAUGUCGCCCCGCCCAUAAUUGUUUUUCCCCGCCUUUGAAAUUUUGCUCCGACCCAGCAGGGGGCAGUUUGCGUUGAAACAAACAGAACGGUGGCAACUGCAGCAGCAGAGUAAUAACGAUACCACGCUGAUUGCAUGAGGAUGACAUGCAGAGGAUCAGGAGGUGGUGGUGUGCUGUUCUCUUGGACAGCUUCACUCUGCAAAUCUUCUCCUGGAAAUCCUCAGUGAAGUUAUUUUGUCAACAGUUGACUCUACAUAUAUGACACUUUCUCUGGUAUGCAGAUGGUUUAGAGAUGUGGUCACUCAAGAAGUUUUUCGGAAAGCGGCACACUUUGCCUGGCUAGACAGUAAGAUUUUUUUUCCCGUUUAAUGCACAUUCUCCAAUUGAAUUUUGUAGUACAAGGCUGUUAAACUUUUUUUUAUUAUUAUUAUCUUUCCUGUAUUUUGUCUUUACACUUUAAGUUGUGGCCAACUCAAAUAAUUUUACUCCUGUCUACCGGAUCGAGUUCAGACGGAUGAACAGCAUCAGGGAAUGCUUGCAGUUCAGAGCCCUUUUCAAGUC